rnacentral:rRNA from 1 species
GGAUCAAUAUGUUGGUCGUGCCUUGGUACGUACUGGCAUCGUUGGUUCCUACCUUCUGAAGAACCUCGAUGUCAUUAAUUUGGUGUCUUGGGAAAUCAGGACUGUUACUUUGAAAAAAUUAGAGUGUUUAAAGCAGGCUCACGCUUGAAUACAUUAGCAUGGAAUAAUGAAAUAGGACGUUUGAUUCUAUUUUGUUGGUUUCUAGGAUCGACGUAAUGAUUA